rnacentral:rRNA from 1 species
UACGGGGGGAGCAAGCGUUGUUCGGAUUUACUGGGCGUAAAGGGCGCGUAGGCGGUCGUGACAAGUCACUUGUGAAAUCUCCGGGCUUAACUCGGAACGGUCAAGUGAUACUGUCGGACUAGAGUACAGAAGGGGCGAACUGGAAUUCUCGGUGUAGCGGUGAAAUGCGUAGAUAUCGAGAGGAACACCUGCGGCGAAGGCGGGUUGCUGGGCUGAUACUGACGCUGAGGCGCGAAAGCCAGGGGAGGCGA